GGCGGACGGGUGAGUUAACGCGUGGGAAUCUACCCAGUAGUGGGGGACAACUACCGGAAACGGUAGCUAAUACCGCAUACGCCCUAUGGGGGAAAGGCUUCGGCCGCUAUUGGAUGAGCCCGCGUCAGAUUAGCUAGUUGGUAGGGUAAAGGCCUACCAAGGCAACGAUCUGUAGCUGGUCUGAGAGGACGAACAGCCACACUGGGACUGAGACACGGCCCAGACUCCUACGGGAGGCAGCAGUGGGGAAUAUUGGACAAUGGGCGAAAGCCUGAUCCAGCAAUGCCGCGUGUGUGAAGAAGGCCUGCGGGUUGUAAAGCACUUUCAGUUGGGAAGAUGAUGACGUUACCAACAGAAGAAGCACCGGCUAAAUCCGUGCCAGCAGCCGCGGUAAUACGGAUGGUGCGAGCGUUAAUCGGAAUUACUGGGCGUAAAGUGCGC
rnacentral:rRNA from 1 species